rnacentral:rRNA from 1 species
AUUCUUCCACAAUGGACGGAAGUCUGAUGGAGCAACGCCGCGUGAUCGAAGAAGGUCUUCGUAUCGUAUAGCUCUGUUGUAAGGGAAGAACACGUACGCGAGUCACUGCCCGUACCCUGACGGUACCUUAUCAGAAAGCCACCGCUAACUACACGUCUGCAGCCGCGGGAAUACGUAGGUGGCAAGCGUUGUCCGGAAUUAUUGGGCGUAAAGCGCGCGCAGGCGGUCCUUUAAGUCUGAUGUGAAAGCCCACUGCUCAACCGUGGAGGGUCAUUGGAAACUGGAGGAAUUGAGUACAGAAGAGGAAAGCGGAAUUCCACGUGUAGCGGUGAAAUGCGUAGAGAUGUGGAGGAACACCAGUGGCGAAGGCGGCUUUCUGGUCUGUAACUGACGCUGAGGCGCGAAAGCGUGGGGAGCAAACAG